UGUGUGUGUAUGUGUCCUUGUUUAAUUUGUAACAAAGCCUUACAGACAGGUGUCAACAAUAAAUCCUAUUUUGCAGCCUAGAACUCCUUGUUGGGUAUGAGAUUUUGAUACAUAUAAAAAGGAAUAUG